CCGCAGUGUGUUUGUAACAGGGCCGUGGUUUGUGGACCCCUCUCUUCGCGCUUCCUUCUUUCUCAAAGUUUCAUGAACUUUGUGUUGCAUGUAAUCGUCUCAGUGUGAAGCUCCAUCUGAAGCUGGAAACAACAUGUUUAUGUAAUUGCCAGUUAAAAGAGAGAGCGAGGAACGCGGAGAAAGGAUUCUACAAGAGCCGGAAGAACCAGGUGAAGGUAGAAAGUGUGUGUGAGCUGAAUUGAGCAGCAUGGAUCAGUGUG